rnacentral:rRNA from 1 species
AACCAGCACCUCAAGUGGUCAGGAUGAUUAUUGGGCCUAAAGCAUCCGUAGCCGGUUCUGUUAGUCUUCGGUUAAAUCUAUCCACUCAAGUGACAGGCCGCCGGGAAUACUGCAAAGCUAGGGAGUGGGAGAGGUAGACGGUACUCGGUAGGAAGGGGUAAAAUCCUUUGAUCUAUUGAUGACCACCUGUGGCGAAGGCGGUCUACCAGAGCACGUCCGACGGUGAGGGAUGAAAGCUGGGGGAGCAAACCGG